GGGACUUAGAGCAUUUGUUAUCACAUCAGAUUUUGAUUCUGGGAACCCCGGUUCAAAUCCGGGUGCAGCCUCA